rnacentral:lncRNA from 1 species
GUCUUAUUGUUACCGGCUGGCCAAGCUCUACCAUCCCUUACCUUCCUCAGGGCUGAUCUCUCAGAAGAAUGUGGGAGCCUGGGAGGAGAGUGUUGUAGACUUUGGCAAGUUAAGAAGAAGCAGAGUGGCUUUGUUUGUGUCACUCAAAGACUUGGUGAAAGCAGGAGGAGGAGAAACUACUCAGAAGGUGUUAGAAGUGGAACUGAGAGAUACCUAGAGAGCAAGGGAUGUGUUCAGAAGAUAUGUUUGGGCAUUUUGAGUUAAAAAUUUGCAAUAGUAAAAGCAGGUGAUUUUGAUUUGCAAGUGGCUGUGCUUCUCCUUCCAUCAUGUGGCUCUGCAUCUUCAACACAUGGUUACCAAGGUCACCAGAGAAGGUCAAAGAAGUGGGGAUCACAUUCAGGAGGUUACUAUAGCCCAUUCUUGAAAGUGGUUUAUUUUAAUUCUUAUGCUUCAUAAGCCAGAUGGGAAUUAUUUGGGCUCUGAAUAUGAUACCUGAAAGCAUGACACUUUGACAUGCUGAUGAUUUUGAGCUGAAUAAGAUUGGGAAGGCCUCAGAAACAAGACAGUUUCAUCGACCUACUCUGGCCUUCCCUCCUCCAGUCCCAUUUUCUACCCCCAAGUGGGUCAUAGAAACUAGAAAUCCUCUCCACUGAAGCAAGCCAUAAAAGCUGGGAAGGUCAGGCUCUGAUCUUUUCCCUUCUCCCAUGAAGAUCCUCAUGUGACAAGUGUCUUGCCCCAUACCUGGGGAGGAUAUCAGCCUGAGACACAGAGAAGACGAAGCAAACAGGCCUUCCUAUGUUUCCCCCAGUUUAUUACCAUUAGGUCAUAUUCCUUUUUGUCAAGACAUGUUUCUUCACAACUAUCCUUUUAUUUCAUCAGACUUAACAUAAAGAUAGUUUUCCCUGUGUCUUUGGGCCUUCAUUUAUGAGUGCUCCCACUCCAUGUAAAACUUUGAUUAAAUAAAAUUGUUAUGC